rnacentral:tRNA from 1 species
GAGGUCGUAGCUCAAUGGCAGAGCAGCAGCUUGUGGAGCUGCGGGUUGGGGGUUCAAUUCCCCUCGGCCUCC